CAGAGACUGCAAGCGUUAUUCGGAUUCACUGGGCGUAAAGGGUGCGCAGGCGGCCAAGUGUGUUAGGCGUGAAAGCCCGGAGCUUAACUCCGGAAUUGCACCUAAAACUACAUGGCUAGAGCAUUGGAGAGGGUAGCGGAAUUCACGGUGUAGCAGUGAAAUGCGUAGAUAUCGUGAGGAACACCAGAGGCGAAGGCGGCUACCUGGACAAUUGCUGACGCUCAGGCACGAAAGCGUGGGGAGCAAAAGGGAUUAGAUACCCCUGUAGUCCACGCCCUAAACGGUGCACACUAGGUCUUGGCGGAUUCGACCCCACCAGGGCCCAAGCUAACGCGUUAAGUGUGCCGCCUGAGGACUACGGUCGCAAGACUA
rnacentral:rRNA from 1 species